rnacentral:rRNA from 1 species
GUCCGCACUGUAAAACGAUGAUUACUCGCUGCUAGGGGGCAACUCUUAGUGGCUUAGCGAAAGCGAUAAGUAAUCCACCUGGGGGAGUACGCCGGCAACGGUGAAACUCAAAGGAAUUGACGGGGGCCCGCACAAGCGGAGGAGCAUGUGGUUUAAUUCGAUGAUACGCGAGGAACCUUACCAGGGCUUGAAAGUUAGUGACCGCCUCUGAAGGAGGCUUUCCGCAAGGACACGAACUAGGUGCUGCAUGGCUGUCGU